UGCUUUUUGUUUUUGUUUUAAUUAAUUCCAGGAUCCUGAGAAGUUAUUGUAAAGCUCAGCACAUUAUGGCAGAUAGAAAAGAUGUGAGGCAUGACCUCUGAUGCCUGCCUUUGAUUUUGAUUAUAUAUUAAUGUCGAAAUCUGAUAUUCAAGAGAAAUUUGGUUAUGCUGAUUGCCUACCCUCCUCUCCAAGAUAUUACAAGUCAGAAGCUGUUUCACUGAGGGCAUGUGUAUAUAUGAAAUUCUAACUGCAAUUCCAAAAUGUUUUACAUCCAUUGAAGAACAUUCAAUCACCUGGAGGAAUACUUUCUAUACCAUAGAAUACCUGGAAGAACAUCUGGAAGAAUACUUCCUAUACCAUAGAAUAAGUCACAAUGGCGCAGUCUUUGGUCUGAAGGCAAGAAGGAAAACAUGGGGAAAAUGA
ensembl:lncRNA